rnacentral:tRNA from 1 species
GGGCCCGUAGUGCAGAAGUCGACACGCCGGUCUGCCAAACCGGAGGACGCCGGUGCGAAUCCGGCCGGUCCCACC